rnacentral:rRNA from 1 species
UACGAAGGGGGCUAGCGUUGCUCGGAAUCACUGGGCGUAAAGGGUGCGUAGGCGGGUCUUUAAGUCAGGGGGGAAAUCCUGGAGCUCAACUCCAGAACUGCCUUUGAUACUGAGGAUCUUGAGUACGGGAGAGGUGAGUGGAACUGCGAGUGUAGAGGUGAAAUUCGUAGAUAUUCGGAAGAACACCAGUGGCGAAGGCGGCUCACUGGUCCGGUACUGACGCUGAGGUGCGAAAGCGUGGGGAGCAAACAGG